AUGGUCCUUAAUGACGUCCAUCUUCAUGAGCAAACCUAAGACGUCAUCAUUUGGAAGCAUGCAAACGAUAAGAUCUACACGACAGCCACCGCGUACAAGGCUCAAUUUCUAGGCAUGACCCUCUCCCCCUUGGAUCGCAUGGUUUGGAAGGCAUGGGCACCUCCAAAGGAUAAGUUUUUUGCUUGGUUGGCGUUGCAAGAUAGGGUCUGGACCGCCGAUCGGUUGGAGCGAUGA
rnacentral:rRNA from 1 species